UACGUAGGGGGCUAGCGUUGUCCGGAAUCAUUGGGCGUAAAGAGCGUGUAGGCGGCCCGGUAAGUCCGCUGUAAAAGUCAAAGGCUCAACCUUUGAAUGUCAGUGGAUACUGCCGGGCUAGAGUCCGGAAGAGGCGAGUGGAACUCCUGGUGUAGCGGUGGAAUGCGUAGAGAUCCGGAAGAACACCGGUGGCGAAGGCGGCCUGCUGGGCAGUUGCUGACACUGAGGCGCGACAGCGUGGGGAGCAAACAGG
rnacentral:rRNA from 1 species